rnacentral:tRNA from 1 species
GCCUGGGUGGCUCAGUCGGUUGAGCGUCUGACUUUGGCUCAGACCACGAUCUCGCGGUCCGUGAGUUCGAGCCCCGCGUCCGGCU